rnacentral:misc_RNA from 1 species
GAUGAAGAACGUAGCGAAAUGUGAUACUUGGUGUGAAUUGCAGAAUCCCGUGAACCAUCGAGUCUUUGAACGCAAGUUGCGCCCGAAGCCACUAGGCCGAGGGCACGCCUGCCUGGGCGUCACACGUCGUUGCCCCCCACCAUCUACUCCUUCGGGAUUGCGGGGGGCGGAUGAUGGCCUCCCGUGCGCCUAGCCGCGCGGUUGGCAUAAAUACCAAGUCCUCGGCGACGCACGCCACGACAAUCGGUGGUUGCGAAACCUCGGUUGCCCGUCGUGUGCGUUCGUCGCGCAUCGAGGGCUCGAAAAAAUGCUCGGCUCCGGCUCGGCUUUCAACGCGACCCCAGGUCAGGCGGGGUUACCCGCUGAAUUUAAGCAUAUCAAUAAGCGGAGGA